CCAAUGGUUGACGCUACCUUUUAGCGACAAUGAAAUUAUCUUCCUUUAUUCCUCCAUUGUCCUCCAGACGGUCCUUUUAUGUAAUAAAUAUAAUGCUCCAUCUGUAUACGUAAUACGUCUAUGCUCCGAGAUGUAGGAAUUACCUGGUCUGAAGUACUGUCGAUCUUGUCGACCUUUGUGGUUUAAUUAAUCGAUUCAAUGAUUAUUGUAUAUAAAUCAUCGAAUAUCUUACUUAUAUUUUGAUCUGUCGAAAAAAUUAUUACAUUGACAUUAUAGAUCAAUAUAUAUAAUUGCAAAUUUAUAAUUUAAUAUUGCUAGUCAAAUGCCUAAUGUCAUAAUGUCUAAGAAUGUAUAUUAUAUAUAUUGAUGUAUAUGAUAAUGUUAAAAAUUAAAAAUAAAUUGCCAUCAGUAUUAAAUAAUUAAAUAAAAAUGGAGGAGAGAGCAAUGCUAUGGAUGCUUUCUCUUGUUAUGUUUGUUGGAUCUUGUCUUGGAGCUGGAUCACUGCCAUUAAGUUAAAUAAAUUUAUCAGAAGAAGUAAGAUAUAGAAGUGAAGAAGAAUAUUUUAUGUAAUAUAAAAUUAUGACAAGUUACAAUUAGUUUCAAUAUUAGGAGCAGGACUCCUUGUUGGUACUGCGCUAGCGAUUAUACCUGACUAUACCUGAGGGUGUAAGAGCAUUAUUUACUGUGGAUGGUAUUACUAAUGAAAAAGGUUCAUGUGGCAACAUUACAUACUUUAAUUGGAAUUAGUUUAGUACUUGGUUUAUGCUUUUAAUCGAUCAAUGUUCAGCCAGAAAAAGUGGAGGAAGACAAGAAAGUAUUACAGCAACUUUAGGUCUUAUAGUAGAUGCUGCGGAGUUGCGUUGGGAGCUGCUGCUACUACAUCUCAAGCUGAUGUCGAAGUGUCUUAGUUUUUCUUCGCAAUAAUGUUGCACAAAGCGCCAGAUGCAUUUGGACUUGUGUCAGUUUCUUCUUCAUGAAGGUGUAGAUAGAAAGUAAGAAAAUAAGCAGACACUUAUUAAUUUUCUCUCUUGCGGCACCGUGUCUUGUGACAUACACUUGUGACAUAUUUUGGAAUUGGAAAAAGUAUAUGGAAUGUAUCGCAAGAUGUGCACACAUACAGUUACACCCAUAUGCGCACUAUACUUGUUUCUUUUGCUAUAUACAUAUGCGUAUUGUUUAAUAGAAACAUUUAUUAUCUGAAAGGAAAAAAUGUUCCUGCUGAUGCACAAAAGCGUAACCAUAUACUGAUAUAUCUAAACACUUAUGAUACUUGCCCUGCAGAAUGACACAAUUUAGAGCAAAUACUUAAAUAAAGUGUGACAUUCAGGACUGCCGCGCAAGACUGCACGCGCCAAUCAGGCGCGAGAGCGGACGCGGACGCGCGAAGACACCCAAUCAGGAGCGAGGACUGCCGUGCGUGCGCGAAGACGUCCAAUCAGGCGCGGGAACUGCCGCGCACGCCGCCAAGACUCCCAAUCAGGCGCGAGGACUGCCGCGGACGCGCGAAGACGUCCAAUCAGGCGCGAGGACUGCCGAACAUGCGCGAAAUUGCAAAUUUGAAGGACAAGUUACAAUUAGUUUCAAUAUUAGGAGCAGGACUCCUUGUUGGUACUGCGCUAGCGAUUAUACCUGACUAUACCUGAGGGUGUAAGAGCAUUAUUUACUGUGGAUGGUAUUACUAAUGAAAAAGGUUCAUGUGGCAACAUUACAUACUUUAAUUGGAAUUAGUUUAGUACUUGGUUUAUGCUUUUAAUCGAUCAAUGUUCAGCCAGAAAAAGUGGAGGAAGACAAGAAAUGUAUUACAGCAACUUUAGGUCUUAUAGUAGAUGCUGCGGAGUUGCGUUGGGAGCUGCUGCUACUACAUCUCAAGCUGAUGUCGAAGUGUCUUAGUUUUUCUUCGCAAUAAUGUUGCACAAAGCGCCAGAUGCAUUUGGACUUGUGUCAGUUUCUUCUUCAUGAAAGUGUAGAUAGAAAGUAAGAAAAUAAGCAGACACUUAUUAAUUUUCUCUCUUGCGGCACCGUGUCU